GGGAACCCAAUUUGUUCGUUUUGCCAUGAUAUUGAAACUGCCGAUCACCUUUUCUUCGGGUGUGUGUUUGCCCGUUCUGUUUAGGGGGUGAUUGGGGCUGCUUUGGGAGCAUCUUGUACUCCUAAAUCUAUUUGGCAGAGCUGGGUAUGGCUCUAUAAAUAUCUUCCUGGGGGCAAAAAGCAUUACAUGUCUAUGGUUGCUGCUAUAUGUUGGGGUAUUUGGUGCACCCGUAACAAGGCAACCUUCGAUAACUAUGUCAUUCGCUCUCCGUUGGAGGCUGUUUUCACGGCGUGUUCCUUUUUGAUGUAUUGGCCAGGUCUUCUGAAAGGGAUUGACAAGGAAAGAGUCCAGGCUAGAGUGCAGAAGAUGGUGCGCGUGGCUGCGUCUUUGGCGGACCGUUCUACUCCCAAGGGAAGGCUCAUGCUGGGAAAUGGCGCGGGGGCUUGA
rnacentral:rRNA from 1 species